rnacentral:lncRNA from 1 species
UAAUGUAUUGUUAAUAUAUCUGAAUUCAAAGGUCCUGGUACCCAUGAAAAUUAAAUUGAGACCCUGAACUUGUUUGAAAAUUACAAGAGUAAGAUUACUAUUUUCUUUCCAAAAUAUUUUUGUUGCCAAAAUCACAGUUCACAAAUUUAUAGAGAACAGUUUCCUUGAAUACAUGUAAUCACUAACUUUUUGACAAACAUUUGAUACUAACACUAUAAUAAUACCACAACAAUAUUUGCUCUUUUUAAAAAAAGAAAACAACCAGUGAAAAUCACAAAGUGUGAGAUCUAUUUGAAACUGACCACAUUUACACAACUUUUUUUUAAGGACUAUGAUAAUGUUUCAGUGCACAACAGACUUACUUUAAAUGUUAUAAAAUGUUAUCUACACCUUGAAUUAAGUUAAGUACAGUUUUGUACUUUCCAUUUAAAUUCUUUAGUAUAGGGCCAACAUUAAAAAUAUCUUUGUUUCCCCUCUCCCGACUGAGGUUGUUAGGGUAUGGGUAGGUAGGUAGGCAAAUUAUUUUAUUUCAUUCCUUGAUAUGGUUUUCUAUAUUGAAUUUGUACAAAAUUCAACAGGUAAGGCUCAAGUCAAGAAAAGUGGGGUAUUCCCUGUAUUCUAAUUCAGUGUACACCACAGUUUUCUGGUGUUAAAAAAAAACAGUAUACAGGACCCUUUUUUUUUUCCUAUUCAUUUAAUUUAAUGAAAUCUACAAAAGCGCACAUUCUACUCGUGAUGCUAAU